GGCAGUUACGGCCUUCGUAGGUGACCUGCGGAGGAUCAUUA
rnacentral:rRNA from 1 species